GAUGAAGAACGUAGCGAAAUGCGAUAAGUAGUGUGAAUUGCAGAAUUCCGUGAAUCAUCGAAUCUUUGAACGCACAUUGCGCCUUCUGGUAUUCCGGAAGGCAUGCCUGUUCGAGAGUCAUUAACAACCGUUUCGAUCCCUUUCUUUCAGAAAUUACAAAGAGGAAAAGGGUUUGGUUAUGGUGGAGGAGGGAAAGGGAGCGUUUAGCCUGUAAAAAAAGAGGCUGUGUUCCGCCUCCCCCCCAAAAUUGUACAGGCGGUCGUGUGCGCCCACGCAUCGAGGUGUUGUAAAAGCUGCCACGGCACUUUUCACCUGUGCAGUGCGAGAUUGGCCAGCUGGUUUAAAAACCCCUCCAAACAAUCAAAGGUUGACCUCGGAUCAGGUAGGGAUACCCGCUGAACUUAAGCAUAUCAAUAAGCGGAGGA
rnacentral:misc_RNA from 1 species